UGACCCUUGGGAGUCCCUUCCAACUCUACAAUUCCAUGAGUAUAUGAUCCUAUGAGUGCUUUCCCUUGACUGGAAGGCAUCCUUGAAUGGUUAGACUGUUUCUUGCAUACCUGGAUGGAAGAUGGAGAGAGGGGUGGUGGUGUAGAAAUCUCUGAGUUUUGCAUGAUUUGAAUAUAGCCUUGCAUGGUAAGAGUAAGAUCCAUGUCUCCACCUACUUAUGUUCUCAGUCCUUCCCACCACUGCAUCUGGUCCUGCCCUCCACUGCAUGUGGCCCCCGAAAGGUUCCCUAUGAGGGGAUCUGGCCCCUGUGGGCUGAAAAGAAUGUCUCCUGCCCCGGAAAUCAAGCUUAAAAAACCACAAUUCUGGCAGCACGGCAAACCAGAGAGGUUUUGAUUUGCAAAGGAGAGCCUAACUGCAAACAGCUUACAUCCAGCCUUUGCCAAUGCGGUGCCCUCCAGAUGUUUGAGGACUACAACUCCCAUAACCCCUGGCCAAUAGAGCACAGCUGGGAGCACCAGGUUGGUUGGCCCAAAUCUCUUUGGGGGACGCGUUUCAGAAGUAGGACUCGAUCCAGAAGCAGAAAAUAACACUUGCGUGCAUUUACAAUGAAACCAUGUGGAAAGUUCGCCCCCACCUGCAGAUGCAGGUGCAAAAGAGGCUCCCUUUCCCACGAUGCAUGACUCUUGCUAACAUCUGGCAGCUGCCCAGGGGUUGCUUGUUUUUGCAGAUCAGGCCAGAGGCAGCAGUUGAUUUUCAGAGCAGACAGAAUUACACAAGGCAUAAUUAUUAAUUAACAGGUGGGAUUCGACGUGCCAAGGUCCAGCAAUGGUUGCUGCCUUAGAUUAAGGCUUCCUAGCUGGCAGUGAGCAUAUAAAGCCACUUCCAGACAACCUCUUUAUCAAACAGUUAUCCUGAUCUGUCUGCAGGGAUGUCAGAUGAUGUUAACUAUUUCAGGAGCCUUCGUUCUAAUUUGUUUGUGGGGAGGUUAGAUGACGUUGUGUCAAACAGAGCACCAGUCCCACACUUCCUGGGGUGGAUCUACACACAGGAAAAAACCGCUAUAAAUAUGUCAGAAAUUAAAUGGUUAUAACAAAAGGGGGGGGACCUAUGUAAAUACUGCAUAGAAAAUUUGUUUGCUCUCUGGCAUCAUCUGGUGUUGCAUGUUCAUAACACAUUCAAAGUGUUGUUUUUUGACUAAUGUGGCUGAGUCCCUAGUAUGUUUGGCCACUUCUUUCCUCUAUCACAAGAAGUUUGAUCUUCCAGGGAAGCAGGUUUUGUCAUGCAAAAGCUCCCAAACUGCUAUGGCCUCUUUGAGGCUGCCGCUGUUGGCAUAAGAAGAAUACUGUAGCCAUCUAGUCCGGCCUCCUGUUCUCACCGUGGGCAUCCAGGUGCCCCAUUGGGGAUCCCAGAAGCAGGUCCUGAGCACCAGCGCUGAUGGGAACUGGAGUCUAACAACCUUCUCUUG
rnacentral:lncRNA from 1 species